GGGGGGGGCGGGGGGGGGGCGGGGCGCGGGCGGGGCGGGGGGGGGGGCCCGGCGUGGGGGGGGUGCUCGAGGGGCGAACGGGUGGGUAACACGUGAGUAACCUGCCCUUGACUUUGGGGUAACUUCAGGAAACGGGGGCUAAUACCGGAUAGGAGCUCCUGCUGCAUGGUGGGGGUUGGAAAGUUUCGGCGGUUGGGGAUGGACUCGCGGCUUAUCAGCUUGUUGGUGGGGUAGUGGCUUACCACGGCUUUGACGGGUAGCCGGCCUGAGAGGGUGACCGGCCACAUUGGGACUGAGAUACGGCCCAGACUCCUACGGGAGGCAGCAGUGGGGAAUAUUGCACAAUGGGCGGAAGCCUGAUGCAGCAACGCCGCGUGCGGGAUGACGGCCUUCGGGUUGUAAACCGCUUUCGCCUGUGACGAAGCGUGAGUGACGGUAAUGGGUAAAGAAGCACCGGCUAACUACGUG
rnacentral:rRNA from 1 species